GAACAGCAAAAUCCUUGUAAUUAACUUUUAAUAAAGAGUAGCAAUUUUGGUUUGCAUGCAGCCACGGGAUACUAGAUAUAUUGCCCUUGAUGAUGGUAGAAAGCUUUGCCUCGAGUGCUUGGACUCUGCCAUAAUGGAUACGAGUCAAUGUCAACCCCUUUAUUAUGAUAUACAAGAAUCUCGAGUGCUUGGAUUCUGCCAUAAUGGAUACGAGUCAAUGUCAACCCCUUUAUUAUGAUAUACAAGAAUUCUAUGAAGGGCUAAAUAUGAAAGUGGAACAGAAAGUUCCUCUACUUCUGGUUGAGAGGCAAGCUCUGAAUGAGGCUAUGGAUGGAGAG
rnacentral:lncRNA from 1 species